GCCUAGUGGCGCACGGGUGAGUAACGCGUGGGAACCUGCCCUGUGGUACGGAAUAACUCCGGGAAACUGGAGCUAAUACCGUAUGCGUCCUGCGGGACAAAGAUUUAUCGCCAUGGGAUGGGCCCGCGUAGGAUUAGCUAGUUGGCGGGGUAACGGCCCACCAAGGCUACGAUCCUUAGCUGGUCUGAGAGGAUGAUCAGCCACACUGGGACUGAGACACGGCCCAGACUCCUACGGGAGGCAGCAGUGGGGAAUAUUGGACAAUGGGCGCAAGCCUGAUCCAGCAAUGCCGCGUGAGUGAUGAAGGCCUUCGGGUUGUAAAGCUCUUUCGCACGCGACGAUGAUGACGGUAGCGUGAGAAGAAGCCCCGGCUAACUUCGUGCCAGCAGCCGCGGUAAUACGAAGGGGGCUAGCGUUGUUCGGAAUUACUGGGCGUAAAGGGCGCGUAGGCGGUGCUUCAAGUCAGGCGUGAAAGCCCCGGGCUCAACCUGGGAACCGCGCUUGAGA
rnacentral:rRNA from 1 species